rnacentral:rRNA from 1 species
AUUGAACGCUGGCGGCAUGCCUUACACAUGCAAGUCGAACGGCAGCACGGGUGCUUGCCCCUGGUGGCGAGUGGCGAACGGGUGAGUAAUACAUCGGAACAUGUCCUGUAGUGGGGGAUAGCCCGGCGAAAGCCGGUUUAAUACCGCAUACGAUCUACGGAUAAAAGCGGGGGACUUUGGGCCCUCGCUCUCAGGGGUUGGCCGAUGGCUGAUUAGCUAGUUGGUGGGGUAAAGGCCUACCAAGGCGACGAUCAGUAGCUGGUCUGAGAGGGCGACCAGCCACACUGGAACUGAGACACGGCCCAGACUCCUACGGGAGGCAGCAGUGGGGAAUUUUGGACAAUGGGCGAAAGCCUGAUCCAGCAAUGCCGCGUGUGUGAAGAAGGCCUUCGGGUUGUAAAGCACUUUUGUCCGGAAAGAAAUCCUUGGCCCUAAUACGGUCGGGGGAUGACGGUACCGGAAGAAUAAGCACCGGCUAACUACGUG